rnacentral:rRNA from 1 species
GAUGAACGCUAGCGGCAGGCCUAACACAUGCAAGUCGAGGGGUAGAAGCUUUCGGGCUUUGAGACCGGCGCACGGGUGCGUAACGCGUAUGCAAUCUGCCUUGUACUGAGGGAUAGCCCAGAGAAAUUUGGAUUAACACCUCAUAGUAUUUUAGUGUGGCAUCACAUUAUUAUUAAAGGUUACGGUACAAGAUGAGCAUGCGUCCCAUUAGCUAGUUGGUAUGGUAACGGCAUACCAAGGCUACGAUGGGUAGGGGUCCUGAGAGGGAGAUCCCCCACACUGGUACUGAGACACGGACCAGACUCCUACGGGAGGCAGCAGUGAGGAAUAUUGGUCAAUGGUCGCAAGACUGAACCAGCCAUGCCGCGUGCAGGAUGAAGCAUCUAAGGUGUGUAAACUGCUUUUGUACGGGAAGAAACACCGCUACGUGUAGCGGCUUGACGGUACCGUAAGAAUAAGGAUCGGCUAACUCCGUGCCAGCCGCCGCUGUAAUAC